rnacentral:sRNA from 1 species
AGCUGAUGCACAUGGCGGUUUUCCUCCCAGUGGCGCCGCAGCAGCUGUUCCCCUCUGGAGGUUUAAAUUGCCUUCAUACCUAUAGGGUCCGAGUUUCUCGUGGCCCUUUUUU